rnacentral:lncRNA from 1 species
UUAGAUCUAGAUGGGUUUUCUUAGUCGAACCGGUACGUGGAUUAACCACGGUUUUAUUCUAAAACAAACGGUAGUUUCUUUUAGUUUAGCCGCAGCUUACGUUUUACUUAACUGGUGGCCAUUCACUACAUAGACUCAAGAGUGCACACAGUCAACCAAUCGGAGCCGACCAUAAUACGCUCUACUAGCGAACGGCCUCUUUGUAGCAUUUUCAGAAGAAAAAAAGUCAGUUGUAGCUUUUUAGUUCAGAUUUGUUUCAAAUUUUCAAACGCGCACAACGUUUUAACCGUAAGUCCAAAUGAGAUGAAACCAGCGGCUACUUUUUCGUAUCGAAUAGCUUUAUCCAGAGAACCCAACCUUGCAGACUUUUGCAAAUUCAAAUUUGAAUUUAUUUCAGAUUUGAAUUUAAACUUCAUUAGGCCACAUCUCUUGAACGGUAUGUUCGUUUGGAGUGAUUCCUGUUGCACCACGUCACACAAACUAAAUCCCAUGCCGAGGAUCAUUUCCAAGGUAUAUUUUUACAUAAUUAGUUGUUGUUACCAUCAUAUUACUAGUAUGCCCUAUAGGCACAUUAGUGCACAUCACGGAUUUUGAGCCAUGUUCUCACUCUUGGUUUUAUACUUUGAAAAAACUUUCAUGCAAACGUCUUGUGUUGGAUUUUAUUUGGUUUUUAUGAAUAUAUUUUUUUCUGCAUGUUACUUUGAAUUGUAUGAAUGUUAUGUUUAUGUGUAUUAUUUUACUUUUACGCUAGAUUGUCCGGAGUGCGAAGCCGAAUAUUAUCAUUUGCUAGAACUUCAGUCCGAGUGCCAAGGCAAGUUACAUUUUGAUCAUAACUAUCUUACCUAUGUUUUGUUAUGCAUGUAGUCCUUUGCUAUAGGAUUGCAUGAUAGGAAUUUAUUUUCUUUGGCUAUGCUUGCACCUAGUAGUUCAUUUGAGGUAGGUCUGAACCAUAUCAACCUUGUCGCCAUCGAGUUAAGUUAUAGUUGCUUCGCCAAAGUAGACGUGGAUUGGGAAGUGAUAUCACAUUGAGACAUGAGGGACAAAGUAGUAAUUAGGACCAAGACUUAAAUGAACUACCUGGGUGGAAAGUUGGUUUGAAUGGUGGCGAAGUACAGUGGGAGCAUUCAUGGGAAUCCACGGGAGUGCACACUAGUGGUUCGUCCACCCAGGCUCAAAGGGAUCAACCAUGUUUUUGUUGGAAAUAUGCCCUAGAGGCAAUAGUAAAUUAGUUAUUAUUAUAUUUCUUUGUUCAUGAUAAUCGUUUAUUAUCCAUGCUAUAAUUGUAUUGAUUGGAAACACAAAGCAUGUGUGGAUACAUAGACAAAACACUGUCCCUAGUAAGCCUCUAGUUGACUAGCUCGUUGAUCAAAGAUGGUCAAAGUUUCCUGACCAUAGGCAACUGUUGUCACUUGAUAACGGGAUCACAUCAUUAGGAGAAUCAUGUGAUGGACUAGACCCAAACUAAUAGACGUAGCAUGUUGAUCGUGUCAUUUUGUUGCUACUGUUUUUUGCGUGUCAAGUAUUUGUUCCUAUGACCAUGAGAUCAUAUAACUCACUUACACCGGAGGAAUGCUUUGUGUGUAUCAAACGUCGCAACGUAACUGGGUGACUAUAAAGAUGCUCUCCGGGUAUCUCCGAAGGUGUUCGUUGAGUUAGUAUGGAUCGAGACUGGGAUUUAUCACUCCGUGUGACGGAGAGGUAUCUCAGGGCCCACUCGGUAACACAACAUCACACACAAGCCUUGCAAGCAAUGUGACUUAGUGUAAGUUGCGGGAUCUUGUAUUACGGAACGAGUAAAGAGACUUGCCGGUAAACGAGAUUGAAAUAGGUAUGCGGAUACCGACGAUCGAAUCUCGGGCAAUUAACAUACCGAAGGACAAAGGGAAUGACAUACGGGAUUAUAUGAAUCCGCAGGGUCUGCACACUUAAGGUUCGACGUUGUUCUAUGCGUAUUUGAGUUAUAUGGUUGGUUACCGAAUGUUGUUCGGAGUCCCGGAUGAGAACACGGUCGUCACGAGGGUUUCCGGAAUGGUCCGGAAACAAAGAUUGAUAUAUAGGAUGACCUCAUUUGGUUACCGGAAGGUUUUCGUGCAUUACCGGAAAAGUCUCGGGCUCAUCGGUAGUGUACUGGGAGUGCCGGGNNNNNNNNNNNNNNNNNNNNNNNNNNNNNNNNNNNNNNNNNNNNNNNNNNNNNNNNNNNNNNNNNNNNNNNNNNNNNNNNNNNNNNNNNNNNNNNNNNNNAACGCUUCUGCUGUGCGAUCUACAAGGGUACGUUGAUCGGAAAUCCCCUCUCGUAGAUGGACAUCACCAUGAUAGGUCUUCGUGCGCGUAGGAAAUUUUUUGUUUCCCAUGCGACGUUCCCCAAGAGUGGCAUCAUGAGCUAGGUUCAUGCGUAGAUGUAAUCUCGAGUAGAACACAAAAGUUUUUGUGGGCGGUGAUGUGCGUUUUGCUGCCCUCCUUAGCCUUUUCUUGAUUCCGCGGUAUUGUUGGAUCGAAGCGGCUCGGACCGACAUUACUCGUACGCUUACGAGAGACUGGUUUCAUCGCUACGAGUAACUCUGUUGUCUCAAAGAUGACCGGCGAGUGUCGGUUUCUCCAACUUUAGUUGAAUCGGAUUUGACCGAGGAGAUCCUUGGAUGAGGUUAAAUAGCAAUUCAUAUAUCUCCGUUGUGGUGUUUGCGUGAGUAAGAUGCGAUCCUAUUAGAUACCCAUGGUCACCACGUAAAACAUGCAACAACAAUUAGAGGACAUCUAACUUGUUUUUGCAGGGUAUGCUUGUGAUGUGAUAUGGCCAACGAUGUGAUGUGAUAUAUUGGAUGUAUGAGAUGAUCAUGUUGUAAUAGUUAAUAUCGACUUGCACGUCGAUGGUACGGCAACCGGCAGGAGCCAUAGGGUUGUCUUUAAACUAACGUUUGUGCUUGCAGAUGCGUUUACUAUAUUGCUAGGACGUAGCUUUAGUAGUAAUAGCAUGAGUAGCACGACAACCCCCGAUGGCGACACGUUGAUGGAGAUCAUGGUGUGACGCCGGUGACAAGAAGAUCGUGCCGGUGCUUUGGUGAUGGAGAUCAAGCAACACAUGAUGAUGGCCAUAUCAUGUCACUUAUGAAUUGCAUGUGAUGUUAAUCCUUUAUGCACCUUAUCUUGCAUAGAACGACGAUAGCAUUAUGAGGUGAUCUCUAACUAAAAUUUCAAGACGAAAUUGUGUUCUCCCCGACUGUGCACCGUUGCGACAGUUCUUCGUUUCGAGACACCACGGGAUGAUCGGGUGUGAUAGACUCAACGUUCAUAUACAACGGGUGCAAAAUAGUUGCACACGCGGAACACUCGGGUUAAGCUUGACGAGCCUAGCAUGUGCAGACAUGGCCUCGGAACACAUGAGACCGAAAGGUCGAGCAUGAAUUGUAUAGUUGAUAUGAUUGGCAUAGAGAUGCUUACCACUGAAACUAUUCUCGACUCACGUGAUGAUCGGACUUGAGAUAGUUGAUUUGGAUCAUGUACCACUCAAAUGACUAGAGAGAUGUACUUUUUGAGUGGGAGUUCUUAAGUAAUAUGAUUAAUUGAACUAAUUGUCAUGAACAUAGUCUAAUGGUCUUUGCGAAUUACGAUGUAGCUUGCGCUAUAGCUCUACUGUUUUUAUAUGUUCCUAGAGAAAAUUUAGUUGAAAGUUGAUAGUAGCAAACUUUGGAGACUGAGUCUGUAAAACCGGGGAUUGUCCUCGUUGCUGCGCAGAAGGCUUAUGUCCUUAAUGCACCACUCGGUGUGCUGCACCUCGAGCGUCGUCUGUAGAUGUUGUGAACAUCCGACAUACACGUUUCUAAUGACUACACGAUAGUUCGGUACAAAAUACUUAAUGGCUUAGAAGCAAGGCGCCGAAGACGUUUUGAAACGUCACGGAACAUAAGAGAUGUUCUAAAGAGAUGAAAUUGUGAUUUCAUGCUUGUGCCCUUGUUAAGAGGUAUGAGACCUCCGACAAGAUUCUUUGUCCAUGAAGUAAAGGAGAAAAGCUCAAUCGUUGAGCGUGUGCUCAGAUAUCUGAGUACGACAAUCGCUUGAAUCAAGUGGGAGUUGAUCUUCUAGAUAAGAUAGUGAUGGUUCUCCAAAGUCACUGCCACCAAGCUGUGAGAGCUUCGUGAUGAACUAUAACAUGUCAAGGAUAGAUACAAUGAUCCUUGAGCGAUUCGGGAUGUUUGACACUGCGAGAGUAGAAUUCAAGAAGGAGCAUCAAUAAUUGAUGGUUAGUAAAACCACUAAGUUUCGAGAAAGGCAAGGGCUAGAAGGGAUACUUUGUGAAACGGCAAAGCAGUUGCUGCACUAAUGAAGAGACCCGAGAUUAAACCCAAGCCCGGGACUAAGUGCUUCUGCUAUGAGGGGAACGGUCACUGAGGCGGAGCAACUCUAGAUACUUGGUAGAUAAGAAGGCUGGCAAAAGUCGAAAGAAGUAUAUUUGAUAUACAUGAUGUUGAUGUGUACUUUACUAGUACUCCUAGUAGCAAGAGGGUAUUGGAUACCGGUUCGGUUGCUAAGUGAUUAGUAACACGAAAUGAAAGCUACGGCAUAAAUGGAGACUAGCUAAAGGCGAGGUGACGAUACGUGUUGGAAGUGUUUCCAAGGUUGAUAUGAUCAAACGUCGCACACUCCCUCUACCAUCGGGAUUGGUGUUAAACCUAAAUAAUUGUUAUUUGGUGCUUGCGUUAAGCAUGAACAUGAUUGGAUCGUGUUUAUUGCAAUACGAUUAUUCAUUUAAAGAGAAUAAUGGUUACUCUAUUUGCUUGAAUAAUCACCUUCAAUGGUUUAUUGAAUCUCGAUCGUAGUGUUACACAUGUUCAUGAUAUUGGUGCCAAAAGAUAUGAGGUAAUGAUGAUAGUACCACUUACUUGUGGCACUGCCGCUUGAGUCAUGUUGGUAUAAAUUGCAUGAAGAGGCUCCAUGCUGAUGGAUCUUUAUACUCACUUGAUUUUGAAUCACUAGUGACAUACAAAUCAUACCACAUGAGCAAGGCCUUGUUUUCAUUGAGAUGAAACAAGAUAGUAACUUGUUGGAAGUGAUACAUUUUGAUGUAUGCAGUCCAAUAGGUGUUGAGGCACGCAGUGGAUAUCAUUAUGUUCUUACUUCAAUGACGAUUUGAGCAGAUACAAGAGUAUUUACUUAAUGAAUCACAAGUCUGAAAUAUUGAAAGGUUCAAUUCUAUUUCAGGAGUGAAGUUCGUUGUAACAAGAGGAUAAACUGUCUACGAUAUGAUCAUAGAAUGAAUAUCUGAGUUACGAGUUUUGGUACGCAGUUAAGACAAUGUGGAAAUUGUUUCACGGUUCAUGCCACCUGGAACAUCAUAGUGUGAUGAUGUGUCUGAACGUCAUAGCCACGCACUAUUUGGUAUGGUGCAUGCUAUGAUGUCUCUUAUCGAAUUACCACUAUCGUGUAUGGGUUAUGCAUUAGAGACAACCGCAUUCACUUUAAAUAGGGCACCACAUAUUUCCAUUGAGAUGACACAGUAUAGACUAAGGUUUAGAGAAAUCUAAACUGUCGUUUCUUGAAAGUUUGGGGCUUCGACACUUAUGUGAAAAAGUUUCAGUCUGAUAAGCUCGAACCCAAAGCGGAUAAAUGCAUCUUCAUAGGAUAUCCAAAACAGUUGGGUACAUCUCCUAUCUCAGAUCUGAAAGCAAAGUGUUUGUUUCUAGAAACGGAUCCUUUCCCGAGGAAAGGUUUCUCUCGAAAAAAUUGAGUGGGAGGGUGGUAGAACUUGAUGAGGUUAUUGAACCAUCACUUCAACCAGUGUGUAGCAGGGCGCAGGAAGUUGUUCCCGUGGCGCCUACACCAAUUGAAGUGAAAGCUGAUGAUGGUGAUCAUCGAGCAUCAGAUCAAGUUACUACAAACCUCGUAGGUUGACAAGGUCGCGUACUACUGCAGAGUGGUAUGGUAACCCUGUCUUGGAGGUCAUGUUGUUGAGCAACAGUGAACCUACGAGUUAUGGAGAAAGCAAUGGUGGGCCCAGAUUCCGACAAAUGGCUAGAAGCCAUGAAAUCCAAGAGAGGAUCCAUGUAUGAAAACAAAGUGUAGACUUUGGAAGAACUACUUGAUGGUCAUAGGACUAUUGAGUAAAGAUGGAUCUUUAAAAGGAAGACAGACGAUGAUGGUGAUAAGUCACUAUUAAGCUCGACUUGUCGCAAAGAUGUUUCCGACAAGAUCAAACAGUUGACUAUGAUGAGACUUUCUCACUCGUAGCGAUGCUAAAAGUCUGUUAGAAUUAUGUUAGUAGUUGCUGCAUUAUUUAUGAAAUGUUGCACAUAGGAUGUCAAAACAUUGUUUCCUCGACGGUUUCCUUGAGCAAAAUUGUAUGUGAUACAACCAGGAGAUUUUGUCGAUCCUAAAGAUACUAGCAAGUAUGCAAGCUCCAGCGAUCCUUCAAUGGACUGGUGCAAGCAUCUCGGAGUUGGAAUAUACACUUUGAUGAGAUGAUCAAAGAUUUUGGGUUUGUACAAGGUUUAUGAGAAACUUGUAUUUCCAAAGAAGUGAGUGGGAGCACUAUAGAAUUUCUGAUAAGUAUAUGUGGUUUACUUAUUGUGGAUCAGAAGUAAUGUAGAAUUUCUAUAAAGCAUACAAGGUUGUUUGAAAGGAGUUUUCAAAGGAGUACCUGGAUUGCGCUACUUGAACGUUGAGCAUCAAAGAUCUAUGGAGAUAGAUCGAAAGCGCUUAAUGGAAGUUUCAACAAGAUCCAUGCCUUGACAAGUUUUUGAAGGAGUUCAAAAUAGAUCAGCAAAGAAGGAGUUCUUGGUUGCGUUGUGAGGUGUGAAUUUGAGUAAGACUCAAAACCCGACCCCGGUAGAAUAAAGAGAAUAGACGAAGGUCGUCUUCUAUGCCUUGGCCGUAGAAUCUGAAGUAUGCCAUGCUGGGUACCGCACCUGAUGUGUGCCUUGAUUCAAAGUCUGUUGAGAGGUACAGAGAGUGAUCCAUGAUUGAAUCACUAGCAGCGGUCAAAAUUUAUCCUUAGUAACUCUUGGACUAAGGAAUUUUUCUCGAUUAUGGAGGUGGUUAAAAAGUUCGUCGUAAAGGGUUACGUCGAUGCAAGCUUUGACACUAAUCCGAAUAACUAUGAGUAGUGAAUCGGAUUCGUAUAGUAGAGUAGAUAUUUGGAGUAUUUCCGAAUAGCACAUAGUAGCAGCAUCUAUAAGAUGACAUAAAGAUUCGUAAAGAACACACGGAUCUGAAAGUUUCAGAACCGUUGACUAAAACCUCUCUCACGAGCAAGACGUGAUCAGACCCCAUAACUAUAUGGGUGUUGGAUUUGUUGGAAUCACAUGGUGAUGUGAACUAGAUUAUUGACUCUAGUGCAAGUGGGAGACUGUUGGAAAUAUGCCCUAGAGGCAAUAAUAAAUUAGUUAUUAUUAUAUUUCUUUGUUCAUGAUAAUCGUUUAUUAUCCAUGCUAUAAUUGUAUUGAUUGGAAACACAGUGCAUGUGUGGAUACAUAGACAAAACACUGUCCCUAGUAAGCCUCUAGUUGACUAGCUCGUU